rnacentral:tRNA from 1 species
GCAGUGGUGUUCCACUGGCAGAAUACUUGUUUCCCACACAAGAGACCCAGGUUCAAUUCCCAGCCAAAGCA